UGAGUAACAACCAUAGACUGUACAUAUACUGGACAAUUCGAUUCCAUAGGCUUCAAUAACACGUUAUCUGUCCAUAAUGGGAGGUGUCCACCACCGCCAUUUUGACCGUGUCACAGGUUCCGUCCAGCCCAGACAAUUCCAUAAAAGGGAAGAGAGGAGGCGCUGAGGGUGUGGCUGUAAGGCUGGGCUCGAGUGACGACACCCAGGCGAACUAGCUACGAGCUAACCUGAAGCUAACCCUGGCUAACCCAAAGCUAAAGCGGAGGUGGGAGCCGAGCUAACGGAUGUAGCCACCUAGCUUCAACCCAACCGGAGCUAACUGGAACACCCAUCGACCUGAACCUCACACGGAGUUUAGGUGGAGGUUUUCUGCGCCUGUUCGUGAGAAGUACCUGUAUUAAAAAAGUUUUAAAUCGAUCUAUUAAAAGGUCACCAUGGCAGCCUGUGUGUCAACGUCAGCUACACAAAGCAAGUCCAUUUGGAUCAUUGGAGACAGCUGAGUGAGGCGUGGUGCCCAGAGAGCUGCAGAGACAACCUUGGCCUCCCUGACGUCUGUGUCUCUUGGUUUGGUUGGGGCGGACCAUCGACAUACAUACAUACAUGUGCCGACAAUUUGCGCCCUGUUUUAUAAAAUGUAGUGUUAAAAAUAAAUGUUUUUGCUCAAUUACUGGAAUUUCUUUGGUUAAAUCAAAAGUGAGGAAUAAUCAUUUACAAGUUAUUUGUACAACAGGCCCAUUUUAAAUCCCAACAGUUUCUUAGCAGACAAUAGAAAUGUGUUCUUUACUAACUUUACUUGGUUUGAAAAUCUUACUAAAAUAAACUUGAGUGCCGUAUUGCAAAACCCAAUCAUACUUGUUAUGUAAACAUUAGCUUUGUAGAUAUUUUUUACAGAUAUAUAUUUGUGUGCAACAAAAAACAAACUUAAAUAAUUUGUCAUUCUUUAUUGAAAAACAACAAAAUACAGGUAUACAGAAGUGUGGGAAAAUGAUAAUGUGAAAGUAUUGCACUAUAAAUGAAGUGAGAUGAGAUGAAGGUGAGAUGAAGGUGGAUGCCAGCGGGCUGGACGCCGGACGAGGAAACCUGGAGACGGAUCGCUCAGACAGGAAGGGAAGAGCUUCCUCUUACCUUGAUGGAAUUAAAGUUAGCCGUCGUCUGAACGCCCAACCGUACGGUCUGAGGUCAAAGGUCACAGGAAACACACACCAGUCAGCAGUCAUACAGAUGCAUAAAAAUAACUGUAGCCAUGGCAACCAGCUGACAUGUCCCCACUUUCACCAGCACCUGGUGCCUGCCGGGUCACCUGAAUUCCUGUGUGAUGUCAGCACGGUCGGCCGUGACUGCGGCCAUCAGAGGUGACCUCUGAUCAGCUGAAUGAACUCACCUUCCAGGGUGACGCCGUGUUAGAGUCGGCUUCAUCCUGUAAACAAACAAACAAACAAAUGAGUGGUAACAUAAACACCACGUCUGGUUCUGGUGGAGGCGGAGGACAACAUGCACCUUUCCAGGAGCAGAACCCAGAUGUUCUUGUUGCUACAAACAGAGACGAGCAGAGUUAAACCAGGAAGUGAGAGGGACCAGCUGCUGCAGACAGGUGAUGCUCACCUGAGCCUGAACCAUAGGAGCCUCCUCAGCCAUCAGACCUUCUGACUCCAGUUCAGAUGCCACCUUGUUGAUGUCCCUCAGGCGGGACUCGUUGGCCUUCAGGUCCUGCAGGACAAAAGCACCUGCUGAUUACCUUGUUGCGUUCGGUUUAACAGGUCUGGUGUUAGAACGUGGUGGAUAAGAAUGUUCUGACGGGCCGAGGGUUCUGAACUCACCCUGCAGGACUGGGCCUGCUCCUUCAGGGCCUGGAUGCUGCUGCCGUAAGCCGACAGGUCCGACAUCAGGGCCUCGUGCUUCUUCAGGAGAGCCUGUGGAGCAGAACAUCAGAACCUUCAGCUCGUCUGACACAAGUGGAGCUUUCUCGCAGCGAUGGUCCAAUCGGAUCCGCCACCGUAAAACAAACCCUGCUCAGUUCACCGCAGACGCAGCUCUGCGGGUGUUUAGUGGAAAAGCGUGAGCCUUCUGCCGGCUGCCACGUGUCAUGGCUGCUCUGCAGCGGGAACACACAUCACAGCUUGUAAACCGUUUGAAAUAAGAGCGACGGGAACACGUUUGUCAUCACUUCCUGUGCGAGGCCAGCACUUCUACCCCUAACCCAUGAGACGCUCAAACGAGCAACGACGUCUGGUAGACAACCGAAGGAAAUGACAAAUACAGAAACACUAAUUAUGAAGGACUGGAAAGAGAGCAAAGAAAAGCGAUUGGAGUUUCUCAGGAAGGGACUUCCAUACCUCGGCCAAGUCCUCGUCUUUCCCUUAGUCUGGACUUCCAACGAUGGGCUCCUUCUCCCUCAUCCAGGACUCGGCCUCAUUAGCAUCCGCAAAGUACUGCUGGGCCUGCAGAGAGUCCUCCAGGUCCUGCCUCCUCUGGGACGCCUUGGCCUUCAGCGUGUCCCAACGUCCAUGAAGCUCCCACAGUUUAGUCUUCACUUCCUCACCAGCGAAGUGACCUGGACCCAAAAAAAGUGAGCCAGAACCUGCAGACACCUCAGAAACAUGUCAGGACCAGACCUGCUCUACCUUCUUCCACCAUGGUCUCUCCUUUCUGGGUGACAGCCUUGAUGCGAGGUUCAUGACCUGUGAUCUCAGCCUGCAGAGCCUGGUGCUUCUUCAGCAGGUUCUGGACACCAAUCAGGUCCUUCC